rnacentral:rRNA from 1 species
AUUGAACGCUGGCGGCAGGCCUAACACAUGCAAGUCGAGCGAGUGGCGGACGGGUGAGUAAUGUCUGGGAAACUGCCUGAUGGAGGGGGAUAACUACUGGAAACGGUAGCUAAUACCGCAUACCAUCGGAUGUGCCCAGAUGGGAUGAGCUAGUUGGUGGGGUAAAGGCCUACCAAGGCGACGAUCCGUAACUGGUCUGAGAGGAUGAUCAGUCACACUGGAACUGAGACACGUUCCAGACUCCUACGGGAGGCAGCAGUGGGGAAUAUUGGACAAUGGGCGAAAGCCUGAUCCAGCCAUGCCGCGUGUGUGAAGAAGGCCUUCGGGUUGUAAAGCACUUUCAGCGGGGAGGCGUUACCCGCAGAAGAAGCACCGGCUAACUCCGUGCCAGCCGCCGCGGUAAUUC